rnacentral:misc_RNA from 1 species
GAUGAAGAACGCAGCGAAAUGCGAUACGUAAUGUGAAUUGCAGAAUUCAGUGAAUCAUCGAGUCUUUGAACGCACAUUGCGCCCCCUGGUAUUCCGGGGGGCAUGCCUGUCCGAGCGUCAUUGCUGCCCUCAAGCACGGCUUGUGUGUUGGGCCUCCGUCCUCCUCCCGGGGGACGGGCCCGAAAGGCAGCGGCGGCACCGCGUCCGGUCCUCGAGCGUAUGGGGCUUCGUCACCCGCUCUUGUAGGCCCGGCCGGCGCUUGCCGACACAUCAAUCUUUUUUCCAGGUUGACCUCGGAUCAGGUAGGGAUACCCGCUGAACUUAAGCAUACCAAUAAGCGGAGGA